GCUGUUUUCCCUUUUACUAGCAAGCUGUAGUAAAGAAACCCUUUCUCUCCUACCACCUUGCCUCCUGACUAUUGGCAGAUCUUGCAGCGAGCAGACAACACCCCUUGGGCCGUAAGAAUUUUACCGCCCCAUGCUUUCCUUGCACAGGAAGCUGCAGAGGAGGCUCUCUCUCCCUCCUGGGCCUAGACUGCGGACUCAGGUCCCUUCUUCCUGCCUUUCCAUCCAGAGGUCUGCCUCUUCUGCUCCCACUGGGCGCCAGGAGCCUGGCCAUUCUGUAGGGAAUCUGUCAUUUGUCACUUAUCCAUCCAUUGAUUCCCCAAGUAUCCCCUGAGCAUCCACGCAGCCUGUGGAGUUCCAUCCCGAGAGGAAGAACCCCCAGGAAACAGGCUCCAGCUUUGUAGGCGGAAAAGGACAACGGCAGGGAGGGAGGGCAGCUGCCCCAGCUUGGCCUAGCAGGGCGGGCUUCCCGGAGAAGGAAAGUCUGAGCUGAGCGGGGAAAGGAGACCCGCAGGCAGGCGGAGAGAAGAGAAAAAGGAGGCAAACCUAGAUGCAAAACAGAGCGACCCCCUUUGGGCUAAUGGGGGAAUGCCCUCGGGCUUCCAGAGCUGCGGGAAAAGAAAAACAAUCGAAUUGAGAAGCCUCGCCAAACAGCAACCCAGUGAAACCUACGUGAGGACGUGGAGAGAAAAGACCCCAUUCUUGUGGGCCCUUCUUGCCUCCUUCCUCUCCUCCAAGAAGGGCAAGGUAAGACUCUCCUGCCUACCGCGGACUGGCCCUUCCUUGGGACAGUCGAUGUCCAGUUAGCAGGACCCUACGGAAGACGAGACUGGGCUUUGAUGAGGACACCUCGGGUGAGAAAGGUGUGCAGAAGGGCUUGGGGGGUCGGAGGAGACGACUUGGGGAGGAGGGGCCAAGACCGGUUCGUCCAGCUCUCCUCCCAGGAGGUGGGAACCAGUCCCUGCGGAACAGCGCCCCCUCCUGGCCGUGGGGCGAGCGGGAGGCUUCUCAGGUGCACGGAGGAGGGGAGGAUUGCUCGGGAGCCCAUCUGUUUUCUCCGCAAUUAUUGCAUCCCAGAGGCCUUCUUCCAGCUGCAUAACUUCCCAGAGAGGACACUGAACAGGCGGUGAGCAGAUCUGUGGAGGCCACGCAGGGGAACUGCAGCCGGACCCGGGCCACGUUCCAGCACUGCCCCGGGCCUUCGGUUUCACCACCUGUAAUUGGGAAAAAGCGAUCCUUGCCUCCUGGACCGGGGCAGAGUGAAUCAAGAGGCCCGAUGAGAGGCUUCCGACCCCUGGGCGAAGGCAGGAGGAAGCAGCUGGGGCAGAAAGGGGAUCUGAAUGUCACCGCAGGAACAUACACCCUCCCUGGAGGGAGGACCCCGUACUCAUGGCACUCCCCAGGACCAUUUGGUGGUAGGGAGCCACAGAGGACACAGAGGCCAUGGCUUGGCGGGGCCUCCUUGAGUUCGGUGCCUCCUCUGGGAGUCCUCCACCUACGGGGCCUGGCCUUAGAAGAAGAGCUGGAGGCCAAGGAAGCGUCAUCCUUCUUUCCCAGGCCAGAAAUUCCAGGAAAGCUUAACCUCAUCAUGCCAUGAGGGCUUUGUCUGACCCCAGGACACCCCCACCUGAUGAGCCAGCUGCCCUCCUUCCCCUUUCCCAGGGGCCCUGCCAGCACCUGCUCCAGAUGGCCUCCAACCCCGCUGUCCUACGCAGCCCCAUGACGUCAGAGUUUAUCCCUCCUUUUUUUUUUUUUUGUUUCCCCUUUUAAAAAAUAAAAGAUAGGCUCAGUUCCCUGGGGGGAACAACUGCUCCCCACAUGGCUAUCAACAGGCAGGUGAGGGAGUAGAGGCUGUGGCCUGAACCCUGAGAAAGUGAGCAGGCUUGUGAGGGAGAGGGGCCUUCCCAGCAGAAGACGGUUCAGCAUCCCGACCUCAGCGUGGAGCAUGCACCAGAUGUUUGCAGAAGGAAUGGAUCUGCUGCCAGGCUCUGUGCCUUGGGGACCGGGCCUGCCUUGGCUGGGCUCUUGUAAAACAUUGGUCAUAUGGAGCUUUUCCAAGCCGGGAGCUGCUUCUUGCUGCUCUGGGGGUCCCUGCACUGAGCCCACCUUCUUGGUGUGGACCUAGAGGAGACUGUUGUGUGGUUUGGAAGACCAUGUUUCAGAUUUGUUGGAGGUCACAGUCUUCAAGGAAGGGGGCUUCUCCCUAAGGACAGAGGGGACCCGAGUGUCUUACAAAAGCCCCUUAACUUGGCACCUUCACAGAAGGGAUCAUGGGACGGGCCUGCCAGGAUCCAGGCCCACCACUCAGCUCAAGAAGCCACGUCUCUGGGUUUUCCAAGCCAGAAACUCCCCUGCAGAUUUCUGCCCCGUGAGUGUGUGAUCACCAACUGCUUUCUGAUCCAAAUGUGUUUCUCAAGCAGAACAGGCUUCACGGAGCUAAGAGAAACACAAUGUGUCAGAGGAAUUGCUGGUUGAGAGCUCUGAGGAUGUGAGCGCUCUGUGGUAUCUCUUUAUCAGCUCUGGGCCGAUGGGCAUGACCUGCUAUAUGUUUAAUGUACUUUCUUCCAGCUUCUCUGUUCAUGCUACAUCUUUAUUUGUAUUUGUCAGAGACCCUCAUAGUUGCCUUAAGUUGUCUUCCUUUAAUUUCUAAGGAUUUUCUUAAAUAUUUUUAUCAGUUUGUUAAUAUUUUGAUGUUAUUUUUCAUAUUUACAGUGAAGUGUUCUUUCACUCCAUCGCUUUUCUUUGUGUUUAUAUACAGAUGUUUACAAAUUUUAAAAAUGCAUUAUAUUCUUAUAGCCUCCCGUGGUUUUUUUAAUGACAUGCUUGGACAGUUAAACUUGACUCAGGUCUUUCUCCCGAGGGGCCAUCUGUUCCCAGAGGUACCGCACUGCAUCUGCAGCAUCCAGCCUGGGAAAUCUACGAAGAGGCGAAAACUGUGGACCACAAAGUGCUUUCGAUUCUUGUGAAUUGGGUAUUUUUACCUACGUUGUGCAGAUAGGAAAUUGAGCUCAGAGAUGUUAAAUAUUUGAGUAAGCAUCUCAGGUGGGACCCAAACUCAGAGGUCUGUCUGCUCCGAAACCCACAAUUUGUCCUGACAGCAGUGUCUCAGCAGACUGGGUGAACAUACAUUGCUAUAUUCUUCUGUUGUGGGUUUUUUUUUUUAAUGGUGUGUGUGUGUAUUUAACUUUAACCUCUCUGGAAUGUUCUGUGGUAAAUGGUCUGAGUAAGGAUUUGCUAUUCACCUGUUAUUAUUACCCAUUUCCCAUAUAAACGUAGUGAUACUAUUUCUUUCAUCAUUUUAAAAUUUUUGCUCAACUUGUUAUAUAUUAAACUCAAAUAAAUAUGUUCACAUCUGCUCUACCAUAAAGUUUUGACAACUGCCACAUAUGUUUUACAGACUGGUAGUAUUUCCCUGGUUUUGCCUCAAAAUAAAAAAAUUU
ensembl:lncRNA